rnacentral:rRNA from 1 species
CUACGGGUGGCUCCAGUAGGGAAUCUUCGGCAAUGGACGGAAGUCUGACCGAGCAACGCCGCGUGAGUGAAGAAGGUUUUCGGAUCGUAAAGCUCUGUUGUAAGAGAAGAACGAGUGUGAGAGUGGAAAGUUCACACUGUGACGGUAUCUUACCAGAAAGGGACGGCUAACUACGUGCCAGCAGCCGCGGUAAUACGUAGGUCCCGAGCGUUGUCCGGAUUUAUUGGGCGGAAAGCGAGCGCAGGCGGUUAGAUAAGUCUGAAGUUAAAGGCUGUGGCUUAACCAUAGUACGCUUUGGAAACUGUUUAACUUGAGUGCAGAAGGGGAGAGUGGAAUUCCAUGUGUAGCGGUGAAAUGCGUAGAUAUAUGGAGGAACACCGGUGGCGAAAGCGGCUCUCUGGUCUGUAACUGACGCUGAGGCUCGAAAGCGUGGGGAGCAAACAGGAUUAGAUACCCGUGUAGUC